UGGUGAAUUUUGGACAAUGGGCGAAAGCCUGAUCCAGCAAUGCCGCGUGUGUGAAGAAGGCCUUCGGGUUGUAAAGCACUUUUUGUCCGGAAAGAAAUCCUUGGCUCUAAUACAGUCGGGGGAUGACGGUACCGGAAGAAUAAGCACCGGCUAACUACGUGCCAGCAGCCGCGGUAAUACGUAGGGUGCAAGCGUUAAUCGGAAUUACUGGGCGUAAAGCGUGCGCAGGCGGUUUGCUAAGACCGAUGUGAAAUCCCCGGGCUCAACCUGGGAACUGCAUUGGUGACUGGCAGGCUAGAGUAUGGCAGAGGGGGGUAGAAUUCCACGUGUAGCAGUGAAAUGCGUAGAGAUGGUGGAGGAAUACCGAUGGCGAAUGCAGCCCCCUGGGCCAAAUACUGACGCUCAUGCACGAAAAGCGUGGGGAGCAAAACAGGAUUAGAUACCCUGGUAGUCCACGCCCUAAACGAUGUCAACUAGUUGUUGGGGAUUCAUUUCCUUAGUAAACGUAGCUAACGCGUGAAGUUGACCGCCUGGGGAGUAAUGGUCGCAAGAUUAAAACUUAAAUGAAUUGACGGGGUCAUAGCUGUUUCC
rnacentral:rRNA from 1 species